GCUGAAUUUGCAGCGCACCAGAUGCUGAAUGCUGCUCCUCCAGGAAAGGCCGAGCAGGGGGCUAGUGGUGGUCUCACCCUGGCCCCCAGGCCCAUCUCACUCUCAACCACAGGCCUGGUCCACUUCAGGUCCUGUUGCUCAUCUCACCAUCCCCGUCUCUCCACCUCUCACCCCCUACCACGGAAACAGAUGCUUUAAAAUCUUCAUAUAAUUGACAAUAGGCCCCCAUGUAAGUCUUCUCAGCAUUUCUGCAAAAAUUUAGGAAACAUUAGGUUUGACACCAUCAUCAUGUUUGCCAAGACAGCAAAAAUCCCAGCCUGCAAAACUUGAAGUGUGAUGAAGCGGAAGUACAAGGACAGCACAGAAUGACUGAUCAUCUCAGGAUGUUUCCAGUGUUGGCAUUUUCCCUAGUCUUU